AACGAACGCUGGCGGCAUGCCUAACACAUGCAAGUCGAACGAAGGCUUCGGCCUUAGUGGCGCACGGGUGCGUAACGCGUGGGAAUCUGCCCUUUGGUUCGGAAUAACAGCUGGAAACGGCUGCUAAUACCGGAUGAUGACGAAAGUCCAAAGAUUUAUCGCCAGGGGAUGAGCCCGCGUUGGAUUAGGUAGUUGGUGGGGUAAAGGCCUACCAAGCCGACGAUCCAUAGCUGGUCUGAGAGGAUGAUCAGCCACACUGGGACUGAGACACGGCCCAGACUCCUACGGGAAGCAGCAGUGGGGAAUAUUGGACAAUGGGCGCAAGCCUGAUCCAGCAAUGCCGCGUGAGUGAUGAAGGCCCUAGGGUUGUAAAGCUCUUUUACCCGGGAAGAUAAUGACUGUACCGGGAGAAUAAGCCCCGGCUAACUCCGUG
rnacentral:rRNA from 1 species